GAUGAACGCUGGCGGCGUGCCUAAUACAUGCAAGUCGAGCGAAGCGGGGACGGGUGAGUAACACGUGGAAAACAUCCUAUAAGACGGGGAUAACUUCGGGAAACCGGAGCUAAACCGGAAACUUAUAGAUGGAUCCGCGCGGCAUUAGCUAGUUGGUAGGGUAACGGCUUACCAAGGCAACGAUGCAUAGCCGACCUGAGAGGGUGAUCCGCCACACUGGAACUGAGACACGGUCCAGACUCCUACGGGAGGCAGCAGUAGGGAAUCUUCCGCAAUGGGCGAAAGCCUGACGGAGCAACGCCGCGUGUGUGAUGAAGGUCUUCGGAUCGUAAAACUCUGUUAUUAGGGAAGCGGUACCUACUCAGAAAGCCACGGCUAACUACGUGCCAGCAGCCGCGGUAAUUC
rnacentral:rRNA from 1 species